GCCAGCCGCCGCGGGAACACCGGCGGCCCGAGUGGUGAUCGUGAUUAUUGGGUCUAAAGGGUCCGUAGCCGGUUUGGUCAGUCCUCCGGGAAAUCUGAUAGCUCAACUAUUAGGCUUUCGGGGGAUACUGCCAGACUUGGAACCGGGAGAGGUAAGAGGUACUACAGGGGUAGGAGUGAAAUCUUGUAAUCCCUGUGGGACCACCUGUGGCGAAGGCGUCUUACCAGAACGGGUUCGACGGUGAGGGACGAAAGCUGGGGGCACGAACCGGAUUAGAUACCCGGGUAGUCCCAGCCGUAAACGAUGCUCGCUAGGUGUCAGGCAUGGCGCGACCGUGUCUGGUGCCGCAGGGAAGCCGUGAAGCGAGCCACCUGGGAAGUACGGCCGCAAGGCUGAAACUUAAAGGAAUUGGCGGGGGAGCACAACAACGGGUGGAGCCCUGCGGUUUAAUUGGACUCAACGCCGGACAACUCACCGGGGGCGACAGCAAUAUGUAGGCCAAGCUGAAGACUUUGCCUGAAUCGCUGAGGAGUGGUGCAUGG
rnacentral:rRNA from 1 species